CAAGUCGAACGGAAAGGCCCUUUCGGGGGUACUCGAGUGGCGAACGGGUGAGUAACACGUGGGUGAUCUGCCCUGCACUUUGGGAUAAGCCUGGGAAACUGGGUCUAAUACCGAAUACACCUUGCUGGCUGCAUGGCUGGUGGGGGAAAGCUUUUGCGGUGUGGGAUGGGCCCGCGGCCUAUCAGCUUGUUGGUGGGGUGAUGGCCUACCAAGGCGACGACGGGUAGCCGGCCUGAGAGGGUGUCCGGCCACACUGGGACUGAGAUACGGCCCAGACUCCUACGGGAGGCAGCAGUGGGGAAUAUUGCACAAUGGGCGCAAGCCUGAUGCAGCGACGCCGCGUGAGGGAUGACGGCCUUCGGGUUGUAAACCUCUUUCAGUAUCGACGAAGCGCAAGUGC
rnacentral:rRNA from 1 species